GAUGAACGCUGGCGGCGUGCCUAAUACAUGCAAGUCGAGCGAACAGAUGAGGAGCUUGCUCCUCUGACGUUAGCGGCGGACGGGUGAGUAACACGUGGAUAACCUACCUAUAAGACUGGGAUAACUUCGGGAAACCGGAGCUAAUACCGGAUAAUAUAUUGAACCGCAUGGUUCAAUAGUGAAAGACGGUUUUGCUGUCACUUAUAGAUGGAUCCGCGCCGCAUUAGCUAGUUGGUAAGGUAACGGCUUACCAAGGCAACGAUGCGUAGCCGACCUGAGAGGGUGAUCGGCCACACUGGAACUGAGACACGGUCCAGACUCCUACGGGAGGCAGCAGUAGGGAAUCUUCCGCAAUGGGCGAAAGCCUGACGGAGCAACGCUGCGUGAGUGAUGAAGGUCUUCGGAUCGUAAAACUCUGUUAUCAGGGAAGAACAAAUGUGUAAGUAACUAUGCACGUCUUGACGGUACCUAAUCAGAAAGCCACGGCUAACUACGUG
rnacentral:rRNA from 1 species